rnacentral:rRNA from 1 species
UCUUCCGCAAUGCACGAAAGUGUGACGGAGCGACGCCGCGUGUGGGACGAAGCCCUUCGGGGUGUAAACCACUGUCAGGGGGUACCAAGUCCUGAGGACCCCCAGAGGAAGGCACGGCUAACUCUGUGCCAGCAGCCGCGGUAAGACAGAGGUGCCGAGCGUUAGGCGGAAUCACUGGGCUUAAAGCGUGUGUAGGCGGGCCGUUAAGUGCCCCGUGAAAUCCCACGGCUCAACCGUGGAACCGCGGGACAUACUGGCGGUCUUGAGAGACCUAGGGGCGAGCGGAACAAGCGGUGGAGCGGUGAAAUGCGUAGAUAUCGCUUGGAACGCCGACGGUGAAAACAGCUCGCUGGGGGUCUUCUGACGCUGAGACACGAAAGCCAGGGGAGCGAAC